rnacentral:pre_miRNA from 1 species
GGAAGAAAACGAGAAGGGACGGACAAAACAAACUUCCAACUCUAGUUGGAAGUUUGUGUUUUGUCCGUCCCUUCUCGUUUUCUUCC